rnacentral:rRNA from 1 species
UACGGGGGGAGCAAGCGUUGUUCGGAUUUACUGGGCGUAAAGCGCGCGUAGGCGGCUUUGCAAGUCGGAUGUGAAAUCCCCAGGCUUAACCUGGGAACUGCAUUCGAGACUGCAUUGCUAGAGUAUGGGAGAGGGAAGCGGAAUUUCCGGUGUAGCGGUGAAAUGCGUAGAUAUCGGAAGGAACACCAGUGGCGAAAAGCGGCUUCCUGGUCCAGCACCGACGUCAGGCACGAAAGCGUGGGGAGCAAACAGG